rnacentral:RNase_P_RNA from 1 species
CCAGUCGGCCGGAUGGUCGCCGUCUUUCGGGACGGAGGAAAGUCCGGGCUCCACGGAGAAACGGCGCCGGAUAACGUCCGGCGGGGGCGACCCCAGGGAAAGCGCCACAGAAAGCAAACCGCCUUUGGGUCUCCAAGGGUAAGGGUGAAAGGGUGCGG